rnacentral:misc_RNA from 1 species
GAGAGAGGAAGAGAAAUGAACAAGUUAUAGGGGGAGAGAGAAAAAAUCAAAAGAGGAAUAGCUGGAUUCACAUGGCUGAUUUACUAAUGGGUCCUCUUUUUCUCUCUCUCUUCACCUAACCGACAAUUAUGAUCUUUGAAUCUUAAACUAAGAAGAAAAGAAUUGUUCUUCUUCUUCCUCAUUGUAAUAUUUCUGUUUAUCCCCUUUUCUCUGUUGAUUUUGAGCUGGACAAGUAAUGGCUGAUGAUAAGGAGAUGUCAGCUCCUGUUAUGGAUGGGAAUGAUGCAGUCACUGGUCAUAUAAUUUCCACAACCAUUGGAGGCAAGAAUGGCGAGCCAAAGCAGACAGUUAGUUACAUGGCUGAACGUGUUGUGGGGACUGGAUCGUUUGGGAUUGUCUUUCAGGCAAAAUGCCUGGAAAAUGGGGAGACUGUGGCAAUAAAGAAGGUUCUGCAAGACCGUAGAUACAAGAAUCGUGAGUUGCAGCUAAUGCGCACUAUGGAUCACACAAAUGUUGUUUGCCUAAAGCACUGCUUCUAUUCAACUACGAGUACAAAUGAACUUUUUCUCAAUCUAGUCAUGGAAUAUGUUCCAGAAACUAUGUAUAGAGUGCUAAAGCAUUAUAGCAAUAUGAACCAGAGAAUGCCACUCAUCUAUGUUAAGCUUUACACCUAUCAAGUAUUUAGAGGGCUGGCUUACAUGCAUACUGUUGCUGGCGUAUGCCACAGGGACUUGAAGCCUCAGAAUGUUUUGGUAGACCCUCUUACUCACCAAGUAAAGAUUUGCGAUUUUGGAAGCGCGAAAGUGCUGGUUAAAGGAGAAGCUAACAUCUCAUACAUCUGCUCGCGGUUUUAUCGGGCUCCUGAGCUCAUAUUUGGUGCAACAGAGUAUACUACUUCAAUUGAUAUCUGGUCAGCUGGCUGUGUCCUUGCUGAGCUUCUUCUUGGCCAGCCAUUGU